ACGGAGGGCGCAAGCGUUGUUCGGAAUCACUGGGCGUAAAGCGCGUGUAGGCGGCCGGGCAAGUCGGAUGUGAAAUCCCGAGGCUCAACCUCGGAACUGCACUCGAAACUGCUCGGCUCGAGUCCCGGAGAGGAUGGCGGAAUUCCCGGUGUAGGGGUGAAAUCCGUAGAUAUCGGGAGGAACACCAGUGGCGAAGGCGGCCAUCUGGACGGUGACUGACGCUGAGACGCGAAAGCGUGGGGAGCAAACAGGAUUAGAUACCCUGGUAGUCCACGCCGUAAACGGUGAGUGCUAGACGUCGCGGGUAUUGACCCCCGCGGUGUCGAAGCUAACGCGUUAAGCACUCCGCCUGGGGAGUACGGCCGCAAGGCUA
rnacentral:rRNA from 1 species